ensembl:lncRNA
UAUGUAUAUGUUAAUUUACUUAGGAAAAUUAAGAAAGGUUGAUUGUAUUUCGGUAACUGCAAGUACUGUUUUCUUUUUUCAAUAAAAAUAUUUUCAAAAAAAAAAAAAAAAAAAAAAAAAAAAAAAAAAAAAAAAAGAAAUGGAAGGAGUAUGGCACAAGUAUAAACCUACCAAGACAAGGCCGUCCACCUAAACUCACAGGCCGAACAAGGAGAGCGCUGAUCAGAAAUGCAGCCAAGAGGCCCAUGGUGACUCUGGACGAGCUGCAGAGAUCUACAGCUCAGAUGGGGGAAUUUGACCAUAGGACAACUAUUAGUCACGCACUGCACAAAGUUGGCCUUUAUGGAAGAGUGGCAAGAAGAAAGCAGUUAACAGAAAACCAUAAGAAGUCCCGUUUGCAGUUUGCCACAAGCCAUGCGGGGGACCCAGCAAACAUGUGGAAGAAGGUGCUCUGGUCAGAUGAGACCAAAAUGGAACUUUUUGGCCAAAAUGCAAAACGCUAUGUGUGGCGGGAAACUAACACUGCACAUCACUCUGAACACACCAUCCCCACUGUCAAAUAUGGUGGUGGCAGCAUCAUGCUCUGGGGGUGCUUCUCUUCAGCAGGGACAGGGAAGCUGGUCAGAGUUGAUGGGAAGAUGGAUUGAGCCAAAUACAGGGCAAUCUUGGAAGAAAACCUCUUGGAGUCUGCAAAAGACUUGAGUACGGUGUACAUUUUAGGACAUCGUCAGGUCUCAAGAAAAAAGUUGUCAGGUAUCAGACAAAAAAUUGUCAGGUCUCAGUUCUCAAAAAAAAAGUUGUCAGGUAUCAGACAAAAAAUUGUCAGGUCUCAGUUCUCAAAAAAAAAUUGUCAGGUCUCAGACAAAAAAUUGUCAGGUCUCAGUUCUCAAAAAAAAGUUGUCAGGUAUCAGACAAAAAAUUGUCAGGUCUCAGUUCUCAAGAAAAAAGUUGUCAGGUAUCAGACAAAAAAUUGUCAGGUCUCAGUUCUCAAGAAAAAAGUUGUCAGGUCUCAGACAAAAAAUUGUCAGGUCUCAGUUCUCAAAAAAAAAGCUGUCAGGUAUCAGACAAAAAAUUGUCAGGUCUCAGUUCUCAAAAAAAAUUGUCAGGUAUCAGACAAAAAAUUGUCAGGUCUCAGUUCUCAAAAAAAAUUGUCAGGUAUCAGACAAAAAAUUGUCAGGUCUCAGUUCUCAAGAAAAAAGUUGUCAGGUAUCAGACAAAAAAUUGUCAGGUCUCAGUUCUCAAGAAAAAAGUUGUCAGGUAUCAGACAAAAAAUUGUCAGGUCUCAGUUCUCAAAAAAAAAAAGUUGUCAGGUCUCAGUUCUCAAGAAAAAAGUUGUCAGGUAUCAGACAAAAAAUGUCAGGUCUCAGUUCUCAAGAAAAAAGUUGUCAGGUAUCAGACAAAAAAAUGUCAGGUCUCAGUUCUCAAGAAAAAAGUUGUCAGGUAUCAGACAAAAAAAUGUCAGGUCUCAGUUCUCAAAAAAAAAAUUGUCAGGUAUCAGACAAAAAAUUGUCAGGUCUCAGUUCUCAAGAAAAAAGUUGUCAGGUAGAACACAAGGUACCAUACAGAGAGAAAAUCUUCCUGCAGGUGGCGGUGUUGUCAUGUCCCACCCAAUGACACGACAGCUCCCCAAAAAUGAAGCCAAAACGUCUCUAUCGCCCCCUGGUGUCUGGCUGCAGUAUAUACGUCAUAAACCCCACCUCCUCCACAUUAGCGGAUGGGACUGGGGUCAGACUAAAAUAAAGUUAUUCUCCUCAGAUAAUUUUUUUCCAAAGAUUCUUUCUUUUGUUAUCAAUAGUUCUCAUCACACUGAUUGAUGUUCAAGGGGUCUCCUCUCCCAUAAGUUUGAUUCUAAUUCCUACCGCGGUGAUGUUAAAUUGGGGUGAAACGUCAUCAUAACAGCUUUGACUGGCAGCUGCAGUUACGGAGAAACUUGCGUAUCUCUGUUCGGGAAUAGCAGAUAGAACGUAGGCUCUGAGAGGAGGGCCAGCGUUUACGCUACGAAAACACGACCAAGUGUUUUAACCUGACAGCCUGAGGUGUUCUUCAGUAAACUGGACUACCCGACAGAAGGACCCGAGGCCCUGCUGCACUUUUUCGGUAAGUUAAACGUGUUUGUCAGCUAAUCCGUAACUACCGUCCUUAGCUCGGUCCUGAGACCUAGCUAGCUAAGAUGAGGACUCGGCUGUCAGGGUUCGUUUAGCUAAUCUGUGCAGGUGAAUGAAUUUACACCGACUAAAGAAAUCAAGAGAAACGCUCCGGGCUACUCAGUCACUAAUUACUGUUACUGUACUUUUAUUACAAGUAUUAUACUGUAAAAUCAACAGGCUGCAUCCUGCUUCAGCUCCUGUGCAGAGCUGAUUAUUAAAUAUGUGCAAACAACAGCAUGUUUUCAGUCUCUUGCCACAUCUGUAAAGACAACUUUAAAAAAAAAAAAAAGAAGCUUGUACCUUGUAGCUCUUCAUUAAUCAGGAACUAUGGAUUAAAGUACUGUAGUGUACUGUAAUACUGAAAAAAAUGUAAGAGAACAACUUCAGAUCCUGAGUGUGUGAGGACCGAAGAAUCAGCUUUAUUUCAAUUUUGAGGGAUAAAAUUUAUAUUUGAGUUGGAUGGUUCUGUUCUCUUUGUGAUUACAGGAGCUGCCCUCAGAUUCAGACCUCAGCACCACCCCGUGACAGCAGACAGAUCAUCCAACAUGUUCACAUGUUAACUGCAAAAUGAACUGAUGAAAACAAUACAAAGGUUAAAGUACCACAUGUGCUGUAGUGAAAGCUGCAGCUGUUUUAUUGAUAAAGUUAAAGACAAAAAAACAAAAGGAUUAAUCACCCAUGUAACUGUGUCACUAUAUAUCAGCAUUAACAGGACCUCAGUUUUUAUCUCAGACCUGCACAGCUUCCGUUUUAAACACUUGAUGUACUCAGCUGUAUAAAGAGCACGUUUGAGUUUCUCUAGCACAAUUAAAUAAAACCUGAUGAAGGUCAAAGGUCACAGUUUUCUGCAGAUAGUGUGUUAUUUACCAUAAAGUGAUUCAGAGUUAUUCAUACCAGAGUAACCAGAGAGGAUCAUAUCUUUUUAAAUAUAUAACUUUCUACAGGACUGAAUAUAAUAUCUUUAUGUAAAAGUCCGGAGCCUCUGGGGAGUAUCCGAGUAUUUAUAACAUUACACAAACCAAAGGUCUCCAUCACAGUGUUCAUGAAAUGCUGGGUUUAUCCAUCUUCUGGGGCGGGCCUACGGAGGAGUGCUGAAGAUUUCCCUGUGAGGGAGCUGCUGGUGAAGAUCAUGAGUCCUGCUUGAUCAAUGCGAUGAGCUUCAGUGUUCCUGGUGUUUCUUAAAUGAUGCCUCUUUCAGUGGGUCAACAGAACUUCUGGCACAGGACAGCUGUGAUGAAAGAAAGGGAAGAAGUUUCUCCAAACCUCUGGACCCAGGAAACCCAGCUUGGUCCUGAUGGUCUCCCUCACUAGUUUCUCUCCAGGGUGAAGAGAUUUAAACAGUUUUAGAUCCAUUACACUCACAGUCUUAAAUGUUAAAAUCUCAAAGGACAGCAUUAUAUUUUUGAUAUUAACAGUAACUCUGGGCUUCUGUGGAGUGUGUAGCCGAUCUCAUCGCUGUCUAAAAAUGGAUUUUAAAAAAAACAUAAGAAGUGCUGAAUCCUUCAACAACACAGACUAUUAGAGUAGCAGCUGUCUGUGUGAAGCACUUGCUGCAGGGUUGCGCCAUGAAUGUAUUCAGCUGCCAAGAAAAAGCAGGACUCAGUGCGGGCAACUGCCAUGAGUCUGACGAUGUUGGGGUGAGACAGUCUCCUAAUAAAACAGAAACAUCUCCGAAUAAAAAACAAAAAAAUCACGUUUCAACACUGUCGCUAGCUAGAAUGAAUUAGCCAUACAAAAAUAGUACUGAUUUGAUUUCGUACAAAACUAGCUUUCCUUCUGAUAUGUAACUUUCACAACAUAACCGCAACUUAAUAUAAUACAACUGUGGCAAAAAUAUGAACAAAAGUUAAACUUACCUUGUGUCGUUAGGAG